rnacentral:rRNA from 1 species
AGCGGAGGAAAAGAAAUCAAAUAGAGAUUCUCCGAGUAGUGGCGAGCGAAAGGGGAACAGCCCAAACCUCGUGCUUGCACGGGGGGUUGUAGGACCUCUUGUACCGAUUCUGCUGUCAUAGACGAACGUCCCUGGAACGGGCGGCCAUAGCGGGUGAGAGCCCCGUAGUCGAAAUGACAAAAGACGGGUGAGGAUUCCUGAGUAAGGUCGGACACGUGAAAUCCGGCCCGAAUCCGGGUGGACCACCAUCCAAGGCUAAACAGGUACAGAGUUCAAUAGCGGAUAGUACCGUGAGGGAAAGGUGAAAAGCACCCCGGAAGGGGGAUGAAAUAGUCUCUGAAAUGUGAUGCGUCCAAGGAGUCGGAGCCCCGCACUUUUUGAACCUUUGUUACAAUCCACCUCUAUGUUUCAUGUCUCUAUUCUUCAGAGUGAAGAUUCCGACGACCUUUACGUCGGGUUCACAUCGAAUCUGAAGAAGAGAUUGCAUGCGCAUAAUCAGGGGGAAAAUACCUCAACGAGAUCCCAUCGAUGGACGUUGGUGUAUUACGAGAGUUUUCUUUCGGAGCAAGAUGCUCGAAGGAGAGAAAGAAUGCUCAAGCAGUACGGACAAUCGCUUGGUAUGUUGAAGAAGCGAAUUUCCGGAAGUCUGAAGGGUUCAAAGAGUGCGGGGUGACGGCGUGCCUUUUGCAUAAUGAGCCAACGAGUUUGUUGUCAGUGGCAAGGCUAAGGCAGUUUUAGCCGGAGCCGGAGCGAAAGCGAGUCCGAAUAGGGCGAACAUAGUCGCUGGCACAAGACCCGAAACCGGGUGAGCUAACCAUGGGCAGGGUGAAGGGCGCCGAAAGGCGUCUGGAGGCCCGCACCAUAACUUGUCACAAGAAGUUGGGAUGACCUGUGGUUUGGAGCGAAAAACUUACCGAACCCGGAGAUAGCUGGUUCUCCUCGAAAUGCCUUUAGGGGCAGCCUCGUCACGCACGGCGGGGGGUAGAGCGACUGUUUGGGUGCGGGGGUCUUUUUGACCUACCAAAUCCUGACAAACUCCGAAUACCCGCCCUUUGGUGACGGGAGUGAGACGGUGACGGCAAAGCGCCAUCGUCGAAAGGGAAAGAGCCCAGAUCAUUUGCUAAGGUCCCUAAUCGAUCGCUAAGUGGUUAAGGAAGUGCAGAUGCAUAAACAGCCAGGAGGUUGGCUUAGAAGCAGCCAUCCUUUAAAGAAAGCGUAACAGCUCACUGGUCUAUGUAUCUGUGCGCCGAAAAUUUUCGGGGCGAAGCGAUCAACCGAAGCAGUGAGUGCGGGGUGUCACUUGUGGGUUCGACAGAGAUCGAUGUCGUUGUACUUGUAUUGGAAAGUAUGCAGUAUUCAGAAUGUAGUAUUCAGGGUUCAUAUUCCUGCAUACUGCAUACCGAUCCCUAUAUACUUUUCCGGCGCGAGUGGAACAACACCGACCAUCCCCGAAUCCAAAAGCGACAUCCCGUGCAGUAGAGGAGCGUUCCGUUCAGCAGUGAAGCAGUACUGUGAGGUAUUGUGGAGCGGACGGAAGCGAGAAUGUUGGCAUGAGUAACUACUAGGCAGGUGAAAACCCUGCCCACCGAAUCCCCAAGGUUUCCCACGCAACGUCAAUCGGCGUGGGGUUAGUCGGUCCUAAGGCGAGGCCGAAAGGCGUAGCCGAUGGAGAGCAGGUCAACAUUCCUGCACCUCCUGAGGAUCGUCCAAGGGCGGCAGUUGAGCGUUUGUCCGACCUCUGUUCUCCACCAUUUUGGAAUUGAGAGGAAUGAUGAAUAAAGAAUUAGGAAUGAAGAACAGUCUCCGUAAUUCAUACUUCUUAAUUCUUCUACGAUUCUAGAAUGGUGGAGAAUACGCCUGACAAAAAGGAUACUGUCGACCUAGGAGCGGUGUGACGGAGGGGGACGUCCAGAGCGUCUCAUUGACUUGACGUGGAAGGUACAAAGCGUUGAUUCCGGGAGGGAAAUCCCCCGGAUGAGCUGAGUGCCGAUCCCGAUUAUUCGCCGCAAGGCGGACGAGUCUGACACGUUCCACUCCCAAGAAAACCGUCGCUCCGAGAGUCUCAGGAGACCGUACCGCAAACCGACUCCGGUGGGGUGGUCGAGUAGACCAAGGUGAACGAGAGAACUCGCGUUAAGGAACUCGGCAAUGAAGCGUCCGUAACUUCGGGAUAAGGACUGCCCUUCUCCGCAAGGAGUUGGGCCGCAGCGAAAGAGCCCAGGCGACUGUUUAUCAAAAACACAGGUCCCUGCGAAGCCGUAAGGCAAUGUAUAGGGGCUGAUGCCUGCCCAGUGUCAGAAGGUCACGUGAGAGGGUGUAUGCCUUCAAACUAAGCCCUGAUGAACGGCGGCCGUAACUAUAGAACGG